CGGCAGGCUUAACACAUGCAAGUCGAGGGGUAACAUUGUGCUUGCACAGAUGACGACCGGCGCACGGGUGCGUAACGCGUAUAGAACCUACCUUUUACAGAGGAAUAGCCUUUAGAAAUGAAGAUUAAUGCCUCAUGGUAUUGUAGACUGGCAUCAGUUUAUAAUUAAAGAUUUAUCGGUAAAAGAUGGCUAUGCGUCCUAUUAGUUAGUUGGUAAGGUAACGGCUUACCAAGACAGCGAUAGGUAGGGGUCCUGAGAGGGAGAUCCCCCACACUGGUACUGAGACACGGACCAGACUCCUACGGGAGGCAGCAGUGAGGAAUAUUGGACAAUGGAGGAGACUCUGAUCCAGCCAUGCCGCGUGUAGGAAGAAUGCCCUAUGGGUUGUAAACUACUUUUAUACAGGAAGAAACACUGGUAUGUAUACCAGCUUGACGGUACUGUAAGAAUAAGGACCGG
rnacentral:rRNA from 1 species